GACAGAGGGUGCAAACGUUGUUCGGAAUUACUGGGCGUAAAGCGCGUGUAGGCGGCUUGGCAAGUCGGGUGUGAAAGCCCCGGGCUCAACCUGGGAAGUGCACUCGAAACUGCUUGGCUUGAGUACUGGAGAGGGAAGCGGAAUUCUCGGUGUAGAGGUGAAAUUCGUAGAUAUCGAGAGGAACACCGGUGGCGAAGGCGACUUACUGGACGAUUGUUGACGCUGAGGUGCGAAAGCGUGGGGAGCAAACAGG
rnacentral:rRNA from 1 species